rnacentral:rRNA from 1 species
UACAGAGGUCCCGAGCGUUGUUCGGAUUCACUGGGCGUAAAGGGUGCGUAGGUGGCAUAGAAAGUUUGAUGUGAAAGCUCAGGGCUUAACUCUGAAAUGGCAUUGAAUACUGCUGUGCUGGAGGUUUGGAGGGGGGACUGGAAUUCUUGGUGUAGCAGUGAAAUGCGUAGAUAUCAAGAGGAACACCAGUGGCGAAGGCGAGUCCCUGGACAACACCUGACACUGAGGCACGAAAGCUAGGGGAGCAAACAGG